AUGGUCUCGAUGUCCUGACCUCGUGAUCUGCCCGCCUCGGCCUCUCAGAGUGUUGGGAUUACACGCGUGAGCCACCGCACCCGGCCAGAUUUUUAAUUUUUUAGAAAUCUUUGGGAGAGAGUCUCUUUGGAAUUUCCUCAUCUGACCAAGAAAGCUUCUUUCCAAAAGAAAUACAAUUGUCUUAAAUCCUCACCCUAAGUGAUCUCAUCAAAUAACCAGGAAAAAUCAACCACCUGAGAAGAGACUUGGAGUUAUCACCACAUCCAGACAGAGCUUUCAUCUAUUCUUCUAAGAGCAGCGCCAAGAAAUUACUUGAGGAAAUGAAUCUGCAUAAUUAUACACUUGUUCCUGUGCAGCUCUACCCCUCACCUUUUUCUGAUUGAUUUUUUGCAGCAAACCUCCAGAGCAAUAAGGGGAAGGUUUCCCUGGCUGCCAUAUUUUCCAAAUGCAAAGGACCAUGGAAUUUCCUGCCUAAAUAGCUACAGUGUUCACUCGCAUGUGUGAGACUUUUCACUGGACAAAGGAAGCGGGUGGGCAGUCUUUCCCCCACUUCUAACUGCUUAGAGGUGAAGUUGAUAUCAGGAAUUAGACAAAACUGGUAAGAUCCAACCUUGUUGUGACAUGUGAUUAACCUUCCAUCCCAUUUAUUUCCCUCCAUUUUUCCUCUUGCGCUAGGCCCACAAAUAUUACUGAUGGACCUAAUCACCCCAAUCCCGGUGCUCAUUCUUUUAACCUAUACCUAACCCCUUUUCCAUAUAGCAUCCAAACUACAAAUCAGAUCUUAGCGUUUUGCUAUUAUAACAGCCCUUUGGCUUCUCAUUGAACUUACAGGAGUCUUCAAGGUUUAGAAAACCUGGACCUUCACUUUCUACCAUUCUUGUCUUCACUUUCCACCAUUCUUGUCUUCACUUUCCAAGUUCCAGUCACAUAAGCCUCCUCUUUGUACUCAGCCUUUCCUCAGAAGGAUUCUUCCCUCUGCCACAGAUUUCCCCAUAACCGAACUUUCUUGGUCAAGUCAUCCCUCAAAAUUAACCUUUUCAAGAAGGUCUUCCAUAGCCAGUCAAUCUAAGUCAACACUUAACAUCACUUUCACCCCAUCACUCUUUAACUCAUUACUCUGUUUAUAAUAGUAAUUAUUACUAUCUUAAAUUUUGGUAUUUGAGUGUUUGCUUUAUUUUAGUUUUCUUCCUGUUGUAGAAGGUAAUGACUAC
rnacentral:lncRNA from 1 species